GAUGAACGCUGGCGGCGUGCCUAACACAUGCAAGUCGAACGGAGCUGCUUUGAUGAAGUUUUCGGAUGGAUUUAAAACAGCUUAGUGGCGGACGGGUGAGUAACGCGUGGGUAACCUGCCUCACACUGGGGGAUAACAGUUAGAAAUAGCUGCUAAUACCGCAUAAGCGCACGGUUCCGCAUGGAACAGUGUGAAAAACUCCGGUGGUGUGAGAUGGACCCGCGUCUGAUUAGCCAGUUGGCGGGGUAACGGCCCACCAAAGCGACGAUCAGUAGCCGGCCUGAGAGGGUGAACGGCCACAUUGGGACUGAGACACGGCCCAAACUCCUACGGGAGGCAGCAGUGGGGAAUAUUGCACAAUGGGGGAAACCCUGAUGCAGCGACGCCGCGUGAGUGAAGAAGUAUUUCGGUAUGUAAAGCUCUAUCAGCAGGGAAGAAAGUGACGGUACCUGAAUAAGAAGCCCCGGCUAACUACGUGCCAGCAGCCGCGGUAAUACGUAGGGGGCAAGCGUUAUCCGGAUUUACUGGGUGUAAAGGGAGCGUAGACGGCAAGGCAAGUCUGAAGUGAAAGCCCGGUGCUUAACGCCGGGACUGCUUUGGAAACUGUUUAGCUGGAGUGCCGGAGAGGUAAGCGGAAUUCCUAGUGUAGCGGUGAAAUGCGUAGAUAUUAGGAAGAACACCAGUGGCGAAGGCGGCUUACUGGACGGUAACUGACGUUGAGGCUCGAAAGCGUGGG
rnacentral:rRNA from 1 species